rnacentral:lncRNA from 10 species
ACCAAACUCUAACAAAGAACACUGUUUAUUUUUUCUUUUCUUUUCUUGAGAUAGAUAUUUUUUAUUUUAAGUUCUGGGAUACAUGUGCAGAACGUGCAGGUUUGCUAUUUGCUGCACCUAUCAACCCAUCAUCUAGGUUUUAAGCCCUGUUUUGAUUUGAAUAUUAUUCAAUACAAAUGAAGAUUGAAAUGUGGACAUUUAUGCUAAGAACAGCUUCUGGAAUUAUAGAUUUGCCUUGUAUUCUUACCAAUUGUAAGACGGAUAAACAAGCAGAAAUUCAAAAUGACAUAAUUAUAUUUCUUUGCAUCUGGAUUUUAUUCUGUUCCUGGUUCAAGUUUCAAGAUUGUCAAGAAUGACGAGUUGGACUUGGUCUAGUUACUUCCACAGCAGCAGGAGGAACAUGUGUGUGACUCAGGAUAACUGGGGAAGCCUUGGCUAGGCUUUCCUCAUGUCAACCUACCACUCAAAGGGAGAAAACCUCCUGAUCAGAGGUGCCCAGAACCCAGGUUUGGUGGGGUUGGUUGAGGGGUGAGUCUGGAGAAACUAGAAAUCUAAGGGGGUGUGUGUGUGAACAUGUUUUUUGUUUUUGUUUUUUUUUGACAGGAAAUCCAUAAUUUUUGAAUGCUGGCCGAGGUCUGUGACCUCUGACUGAAUGGUUUCCAAGCUCCGAAUUCCUAGGUGAUGUUUUCAUUUGUUCACACUUGCUGAAGAAGGGAAAGGCUCUCUGAUUUACGUGUAAGCAAAACAAUCUAAACAGUAGGAUAAAAUCAUGUUGGAAUGGAGUUCUGUGUGGAUGCUCCUUUGAACCAAAUCAGUUCCACAACUGACCCUGUCAGGGACAUAUAAAUUUAGCAUUUUGGUGUGGAUACAGAAGACGAGAUUAACACAGAUCAAGUAACAUGGAAAUAAAAAAGGAGACAAUGCUGGAUGAUACAGGGGCAGCCAACAAGAGGAGAAAACCCAAGCAUUGGCAAAUGCCUCAUUAUCC